rnacentral:rRNA from 1 species
AGAGUUUGAUCCUGGCUCAGAACGAACGCUGGCGGCAUGCCUAACACAUGCAAGUCGAACGAGACCUUCGGGUCUAGUGGCGCACGGGUGCGUAACGCGUGGGAAUCUGCCCUUGGGUUCGGAAUAACAGUUAGAAAUGACUGCUAAUACCGGAUGAUGACUUCGGUCCAAAGAUUUAUCGCCCAGGGAUGAGCCCGCGUCGGAUUAGCUUGUUGGUGAGGUAAAAGCUCACCAAGGCGACGAUCCGUAGCUGGUCUGAGAGGAUGAUCAGCCACACUGGGACUGAGACACGGCCCAGACUCCUACGGGAGGCAGCAGUGGGGAAUAUUGGACAAUGGGCGAAAGCCUGAUCCAGCAAUGCCGCGUGAGUGAUGAAGGCCUUAGGGUUGUAAAGCUCUUUUACCCGGGAUGAUAAUGACAGUACCGGGAGAAUAAGCCCCGGCUAACUCCGUGCCAGCAGCCGCGGUAAUACGGAGGGGGCUAGCGUUGUUCGGAAUUACUGGGCGUAAAGCGCACGUAGGCGGCUUUGUAAGUUAGAGGUGAAAGCCCAGGGCUCAACCCUGGAAUUGCCUUUAAGACUGCAUCGCUUGAACAUCGGAGAGGUAAGUGGAAUUCCGAGUGUAGAGGUGAAAUUCGUAGAUAUUCGGAAGAACACCAGUGGCGAAGGCGACUUACUGGAC